rnacentral:rRNA from 1 species
CACGUAGGGGGCAAGCGUUGUCCGGAUUUAUUGGGCGUAAAGAGCUCGUAGGCGGCUCAGUAAGUCAGGUGUGAAACCUCCAGGCUCAACCUGGAGACGCCACCUGAUACUGCUGUGGCUAGAGUCCGGUAGGGGAGCGUGGAAUUCCUGGUGUAGCGGUGAAAUGCGCAGAUAUCGGGAGGAACACCAGUGGCGAAGGCGGUUGCCUGGGGCUUUGCUGACGCUGAUGCGCGAAAGCGUGGGGAGCCGAGUCCGG